rnacentral:rRNA from 1 species
AUUGAACGCUGGCGGCAUGCCUUACACAUGCAAGUCGAACGGUAACGCGGGGCAACCUGGCGACGAGUGGCGAACGGGUGAGUAACGCAUCGGAACGUGCCCAGUAGUGGGGGAUAGCCCGGCGAAAGCCGGAUUAAUACCGCAUACGACCUACGGGUGAAAGGGGGGGAUCGCAAGACCUCUCGCUAUUGGAGCGGCCGAUGUCAGAUUAGGUAGUUGGUGGGGUAAAGGCCCACCAAGCCUUCGAUCUGUAGCUGGUCUGAGAGGACGACCAGCCACCCUGGGACUGAGAAACGGCCCAGACUCCUACGGGAGGCAGCAGUGGGGAAUUUUGGGCAAUGGGCGCAAGCCUGAUCCAGCCAUGCCGCGUGCGGGAAGAAGGCCUUCGGGUUGUAAACCGCUUUUGUCAGGGAAGAAACGCUCUGGGCUAAUACCCUGGGGUAAUGACGGUACCUGAAGAAUAAGCACCGGCUAACUACGUGCCAGCCGCCGCCGUAA